AGGACGAACGCUGGCGGCGUGCUUAACACAUGCAAGUCGAGCGGAAAGGCCCUUCGGGGUACUCGAGCGGCGAACGGGUGAGUAACACGUGAGCAACCUGCCCUUAGCGUCUGGGAUAGCGUCCGGGAAACCGGAAUUAAUACCGGAUAUUACACCGGCUGGCAUCGGCUGGUGUGGAAAGAUUUAUCGGCUAAGGAUGGACUCGCGGCCUAUCAGCUUGUUGGUGGGGUAGAAGCCUACCAAGGCGACGACGGGUA
rnacentral:rRNA from 1 species